CCGUUUAACGUACGCGGAGGACAUU
rnacentral:rRNA from 1 species